rnacentral:rRNA from 1 species
AAGUUACUUCGGUACAUCGGUGACAGGUGGUGCAUGGUUGUCGUCAGCUCGUGUCGUGAGAUGUUGGGUUAAGUCCCGCAACGAGCGCAACCCCUAUUGUUAGUUGCCAUCAUUCAGUUGGGCACUCUAGCGAGACUGCCGGUAAUAAACCGGAGGAAGUGGGGGAUGACGUCAAAUCAUCAUGCCCCUUAUGACCUGGGCUACACACGUGCUACAAUGGUUGGUACAACGAGUUGCGAGUCGGUGACGGCGAGCUAAUCUCUUAAAGCCAAUCUCAGUUCGGAUUGUAGGCUGCAACUCGCCUACAUGAAGUCGGAAUCGCUAGUAAUCGCGGAUCAGCACGCCGCGGUGAAUACGUUCCCGGGCCUU